rnacentral:rRNA from 1 species
GACAGAGGAUGCAAGCGUUAUCCGGAAUGAUUGGGCGUAAAGCGUCUGUAGGUGGCUUUUUAAGUCCGCCGUCAAAUCCCAGGCUCAACCCUGGACAGGCGGUGGAAACUACCAAGCUGGAGUACGGUAGGGCAGAGGGAAUUCCGGUGGAGCGGUGAAAUGCGUAGAGAUCGGAAGAACACCAACGGCGAAAGCACUCUGCUGGCCGACACUGACACUGAGAGACGAAAGCUAGGGGAGCGAAUGGG